rnacentral:sRNA from 1 species
UUAUACGAAAGUGUCAAUGCUCUCAAGGC